rnacentral:lncRNA from 1 species
CAUGUACAAAACUCUCUACAGAUACUGAUCUUAAUCUUUGAGUCCUGUUUGCCAAGGGCAGCUGAAGAAAGACAAAAACUAAAAUGUGGGGGCUGGGUCAUAAUGGACUCCAGGACAAUAUACAGGGUACAAGCAAAUGAAAUACUAAGUCUAGAUAUGUAUGGGAGAGGUCAUAUUAGAAAAGAGAUGAAGGAACAAUGCUUAAAGGGAUAGUUCACCCAAAAAAUGAAAAUUUGAUGUUUAUCUGCUUACCCCCAGGGCAUCCAAUAUGUAGGUGACUUUGUUUCUUCAGUAGAACACAAACCAAGAUUUUUAACUCAAAACCGUUGCAGUCUGCCAGUCUUAUAAUGGACGUGAAUGGGAAUCGCAGCUAAAAACUUACAAAUAAAUAAAAAAAAAAACAAUACAACAAACGAAAGCCAAAUUAAACCCUGCGGCUUGUGACGAUACAUUGAUGUGUAAAGACACAAAACGAUCGGUCUGUGCAAGAAACUGAACAGGAUUUAUAUCGUUUUUUACCUCUGAUGCACUGCAAUGCCUGACUGUCUGAACUGUACUGUCCUUGACACAGCCUGCAGUGAGGCAUCUUCUUCUUGCUUUGCGGCGGAUCACAGACUUAUAAGUGCAUAACCUGCUCCUAUCUCUCAAGUGGACCAUUGACACUCCCAAUUGAGAUUGUAGAUAGAGUGUCAAUGGUCCAUUUGAGAGAUAGGUGGCGGCAAUGCACUUAUAAGUCUGCGAUCCACCAUAAAGCAAGCAAGAAAAAGAAGAAGCCUUAGGCGCCUGCUGCUGUGAUAUUCACAAGAGUUCUAACAGUUCGGACAUUGUGUGAAUCAGAGUGUCAGAAAAACCCUUCAGCUGCAGGAUAAUUCACAGUUUCAGAGUGAGGAGGGCCAUUAAAGGAACACAGACAGGAGACGUGGCAGAUAUCAUCAACAUCCGAGUGCUGUUGUUGGCCUCUAAAGGGAACAAAGCCAAAGCCCCAUACUGCCUCUGGCCAAAAUCAACUCCCAUUCCUGAAGUACAACGACCUUCACAGACAGUCACACUUGAG